UACGUAGGUGGCGAGCGUUGUCUGGAUUUAUUGGGCGUAAAGCGCGCGCAGGUGGUGCGGUAAGUCUGUCGUGAAAUCUCCUGGCUCAACUGGGAGGGUGCGGUGGAGACUGCCGGACUGGAGGCACUCAGAGGCCGGUGGAAUUCCCGGUGUAGUGGUGAAAUGCGUAGAGAUCGGGAGGAACACCAGUGGCGAAGGCGGCCGGCUGGGGGUGACCUGACGCUGAGGCGCGAAAGCGUGGGGAGCGAACCGG
rnacentral:rRNA from 1 species